rnacentral:miRNA from 1 species
CUACCGAAGAACUUUGCAAAAG